rnacentral:rRNA from 1 species
GACGUAGGGGGCAAGCGUUGUUCGGAAUUAUUGGGCGUAAAGCGCUCGUAGGCGGGACUGGAAGUCCGUGUUGAAAGACCUCGGCUCAACUGAGGGACCGGCUCGGAUACUCUAGUUCUUGAGGCAAUCAGAGGGUGAUGGAAUUCCCGGUGUAGCGGUGAAAUGCGUAGAUAUCAGGAGGAACACCUGUGGUGUAGACGGCUUUCUGGACCGUAGCUGACGCUGAGACACGAAAGCGUGGGUAGCAAACAGG